UACAGCAGCUUGCCAAACAAAGGCUAAGAGAAAAAAGAGAACAGGUAUUACUGGCAUAAAAUCUACGAUUGGAUUCAAAAAAGCAUAGGCCUCGGGCAAUUUGGCGAACAAAAAACUACUCGAAAAAAGGGCAGAAUUAAAACAGAUACAGAUCAAAUUAAAGAUAUUAAGCAUAACAAAAUUUUGUUCUUGGAGAUAAUUUUGAUUGAGUUAUUAAUAUGUUUUUUGAUAUAAGGAAAAAAAUGAAGAAAGGAAAAUAAGGCAGACUAAACAAUACUUCUUUGAACUCACCCAAUCAAAAAGCCUUCAAUUCUUACAAGAGAAUAGAAGAAAUCAUACUUUCAUACAAUAUCUUAUUUGAAUUCUAUGUAAUGAUCAAUAAAUUCGAUUUAAUUCUCUAUCCAUACGUUUGAAUCGCUCCACUACUUGAUUCAAAAGGUUCUAACAAAAGCCAAAGAUGUCUGAUUAAAAUUCAAUUUAAUGCUUUUACCUUUUUUACUUAACUUAAACUUAAGAGAAGAAAAAAGACUUCUUUUUUUUCUUUUUCAUUGUACAACGACCAAUUUUUAAAACCAUCCAACCCCCCAAGUAAAGAACUGUUACAAAUAACGAAGAAAGUAAUAGAUUUAGAUAGGAAGCAACGUAAAAUAAACCAAAUUUGAUACCUGAAUAUUCGGUUUGAUACCCUGCUACUAAUUCUUCCUCCGCUUCUGGUAAAUCAAAAGGUAAUCUCUCACAUUCUGCUAGAGAAGAAAUUAGAAAAAUGAUAAACCCUAUUGGUUGACGCCACAAAUUCCAUCCCCAAAAACCAUAUUUUGAUUGCGCCUCAACUAUAUCAACUGUACUUGAACUGUUAGAUAAUUAUAGUCGAUGAUAACAUCACUGUUUACAUCGCUAGUCCAAAACCGUACAUGAGAUUUUCACCUCAUACGGCUCCUCGUGGGUCACAAAUAAAUUUUAGGACCGAAUCAGUAUUAUUUAUUUUCGUAUGGUAGAAAGAUAGAGAUCGAAACAAAUAACUCUCGUGGUCCAGAAUAAAAAAAAUAAGAACUUGGAGCAUUAAAUAGCUUGUAUCCAUAGAACAUUUGACGUGACAUAGAUAAUGAAUAAAUAGGAGUUAAUAUCAUUCCAAUUGCCAUUACGAAAGUAAUUAGUAUUUUUGGCUUUAAAAAAUAUUUUUGGCUGGUAAUUAUUCCAAAAAAGACUAUCAAUUCUGCAACAAAACCACUCAUGCCCGGUAAUGCAAGAGAAGCCAUGGAUAAGAUACUGAACAUCGUAAAUAUUUUGGGAAUCGAAACGGCCAUUCCGCCCAUUUCGUCGAGAUAAACAAGACGCAUUCUAUCAUAACUCGUUCCUGCCAAGAAAAAAAGUGCAGCACCGAUAAAGCCAUGAGAUAUUAUUUGUAAAAUAGCUCCGUUGAGUCCCGUAUCAGUUAUAGAACCAAUUCCUAUAAUUAUGAAACCCAUAUGAGAUACGGAGGAAUAGGCUAUUCUUUUUUUUAAAUUCCGUUGACCAAGAGAUGUUGAAGCUGCAUAAAUUAUUUGCAUUGUACCCACUAUUAUCAACCAGGGAGAAAAUAUGGAAUGCGCAUGGGGUAAUAAUUCCAUAUUGAUCCGAACUAAUCCAUAUGCUCCCAUUUUUAAUAAAAUUCUGGCUAGAAGCAUACAAGUACUGUAAUGGGCCUCCCCGUGGGUAUCCGGUAACCACGUAUGUAAGGGUAUAAUCGGCGAUUUGACAGCAAGAGCAAUAAGAAAUCCAAUAUAGAAUAUUAUUUCCAGUGCGACAGGAUAUGAUUGAUUAGCUAAUGUUUCAAAAUUUAAUGUUGGUUCAUUAGAACCGUAUAAACCGAGACCCAAAACUCCUAUUAAUAGAAAAACGGAACCCCCUGCAGUGUACAAAAUAAAUUUUGUAGCCGAGUACAGACGUUUCUUUCCCCCCCACAUGGAUAGAAGUAGAUAAACGGGAAUUAAUUCGAACUCCCACAUGAUGAAAAAAAGUAAAAGGUCUCGAGAAGAAAAUGAUCCUAUUUGACCACUGUACAUUGCUAGCAUCAGGAAAUGAAAUAAUCGCGAAUCUCGAGUAACUGGCCAAGCCGCCAAAGUCACUAAAGUGGUGAUAAAUCCUGUCAGUAAAAUGGGCCCUAUAGAAAGUCCAUCUAUUCCCAAUCUCCAGUAAAAAUCAAAAAAAUUGAUCCAUUUAUAAUCUUCCGCCAGCUGGAUUAAUGGAUCGUCCAAUCGGAAAUGAUAACAAAAUGCAUAGGUUGUUAGAAGGAGUUCGAAAAUGCAUAUACAUAUUGUAUACCACUUAAUUAGCUUAUUUCCUUUAUGAGGAAGAAAGAAAAGUAAAGAACCUGCAGAUAUUGGUAAAAAUACAAUUAUUGUUAACCAAGGAAAAUAAUUCGUGGUAAAUACAAAUUAUUGUUGUGUCCAAAAACCGGAUUUUGGUUGGAAUCAUUAGCAGAACUAAUCAAACGAUUCUGUUGAUCCAUUCAAAGAAUUAAACGUUUCACAAUUAGUGAACUGAAUUUAUUACCAUAACCCUAAUUUUCAAAAAAGAUCAUCGAUUUAUUUAAACCAUGCUCAUGAGCAAGUGCAUAAAUAUACUCCCGAAAAAUAAGUGGGUAUAGGAAAUCGUGUCGGCGGGAUCUAUUUAGUUCUAAAUAUACUUGAAAUUCCUCCAUUUCAAAUUCGAUUUGAACCAAAGAUAGGGGAUCUAUUCGGUUAUUAAAUGAUACAUAGUGCGAUACAGUCAAAACAAGGUAUUAUAGUAAGAAAAGAAUAGAUACCUCGGAGACAGGCGGAUUCAUCAACGGAUUCUCUAUCCUAUCUUUUGCCAUCUAAUUGAUUUAUGUUCGUUAUAGAUAAGAAGACGGUUAGAAAUCCUUUAUUUUUUCAACCCAAUCGCUCUUUUGAUUUUGGAAAAAAAAUAUCUAUCUUGAUUGACUGCCUCCAUUAUGUUGUUGCUAGUAAAUACCACUAUUUUUGGUUUUGGAUCUUCCAAAUCAUUCCCGCAGGAGAUCCGGACCCAUUUUUUUCUGAUCCUUCGAUAAAAAGAUUCAUUUUCUUCAUAAAAAAUAGGAGGUAGAGCCGAUAAAUAUUUCUUUUUUGAUUCAUCCUUGGAGUUGAAUACCUCAUUCAAGAAUUGUUUUUGAUCCAAUCCGUAGGAAUCAAUAGAAAAGGCAAAUCCCUUAUAAUACACCAGAUCCGACUCGGUUAUUGAUACAGUGAAUAGAUCUGCCAUUUCUUGAAAUCUCUCUUCUGAUUCAAAAUCAUGGUGUAACGUGUAUCCCCUCCUGUUCUGGUCAUGGAAUAGAUGAAAUAAAUCAAAAAAUGGAUUUUUGUUCAAGAAUGAAAUCUUAUUGGAACUGCCCAGUUCAUCCUUCGGAACCAUAUCACAUCCCGGAUCUGAUGAAAUAGGAUGAAUUGAGACGGUAUUUUGUAAAUACGUAAUUAUCUUGAAUAUAUUAACUAUUUCUUUAUUUUUCGAUCGCCUGGAAGGGACAAAAGAAACAUCUUGUUCUUUCUUCAACAAUUUCUGAUCUCUAGUGGGCCUCUCAGUAGGGUUCGAACCCAAAUGAAGUUCUGACCAUCUAUCAGAGAAAAAAGAACGAAUAGAUCUUGUAGGAUUCCCAAGAAAUUCUUCGAUUUCUUCCGGAAGCAGAUAUCCAUUUUUCAGGUGCAAGGAUCUAGGGUUAGUUAAUGGAAAUCAAUAAGUUGGAACAACUUCGUAAGUCUAUUUGUGAUAUAGAAAUUGAAAGGAUCCGAUUCCAUCGAUGUAAUAGGUCCCUUUUCUUUCUCUUUAUGAUUCCUUAUGAUAAUAAAUGACCUACUUAACUCAGCGGUUAGAGUAUUGCUUUCAUACGGCGGGAGUCAUUGGUUCAAAUCCAAUAGUAGGUAGAACUUAUUAGAUACCAUCGAUCCCGGUGUCUAAUACGUUUUUCUACCCACCUUCUUUUAUUGAUUUUCUAUCUUUUUCAUCCUAUUCUAUUUCCGUUUUCAAUUUUCAAAUUUUUCAUUAGAUCAAAAUCUGAUUUCACUUUUGAUUGUAUUUGAUUCUAUUUAAUCGGCAGAAUCAAAAUGAGAUGUAUAAACGAAAGUUUUGUUUCUACGGAAAUUUUUUCGAUUAACCAACUCGUUACGAAAUCGCGUUGAUAGCCUCGACUCGUGUCCUAGCCCGUUUGAGAGCUAGAUUUACCUCAAUUGUUUGCCUCUUGCCUUCAGCUUUCCUCAAGUUAGCUUCCGCUAUUUCAAGAGCUUGCUGAGCUUCUUGUGGAUCAAUGUCACUACCCUUCUCCGCAUCAUUUACUAAAAUAGUGAUUUCAUUGUUGCCUAUUCUAGCAAAACCACCCAUCAGAGCCAUCGUUAACCAUUGGUCGUUAAGGCGUAUUCUCAAAAUACCUAUAUCUACAGCUGUGGCAAUAGGCGCGUGAUUUGGUAAUACGCCAAUUUGUCCGCUAUUAGUAGAUAAAAUAAUUUCUUUCACUUCUGAAUCCCAAACAAUUCGAUUAGGGGUAAGUACGCAAAGAUUUAAGGUCAUUUCUUCAAUUUGCUCUCCAUUUCUAAGUUCGUAGCCUUCGCAGUAGCUUCGUCGAUGUUACUUACCAAAUAAAAGGCCUGUUCAGGAAGACCGUCUAAUUCUCCGGAAAGGAUCAAUUUAAAUCCUCUAAUUGUUUCUGCUAGACCAACAUAUUUCCCCGGGGAACCGGUAAAUACUUCCGCUACGAAAAAGGGUUGUGAUAAGAAACGCUCAAUUUUUCGCGCUCUUGCUACGGUUAAGCGAUCCUCUUCGGACAAUUCGUCCAACCCAAGGAUAGCUAUAAUGUCCUGAAGUUCUUUGUAACGCUGUAAGGUUUGCUUAACCCUUUGCGCAGUUUCAUAAUGUUCCUCACCAACGAUUCGAGGUUGGAGCAUAGUGGAUGUUGAGUCUAAAGGAUCUACCGCUGGAUAAAUACCUUUGGCAGCUAAUCCUCUUGAUAGUACGGUAGUAGCAUCUAAAUGCGCAAAUGUUGUGGCAGGGGCAGGGUCGGUCAAAUCGUCCGCAGGUACAUAAACUACUUGAAUAGAAGUUAUGGAUCCCUCCCUGGUAGAAGUAAUUCUUUCUUGUAAAGUACCCAUUUUGGUACUAAGGGUGGGUUGAUAACCCACAGCGGAAGGCAUUCUACCCAAUAAGGGGGAUACUUCGGAUCCCGCUUGGACAAAACGGAAGAUAUUGUCUAUAAAUAGAAGUACGUCUUGUUCAUUAACAUCUCAGAAAUAUUCCGCCAUAGUUAGGGCAGUCAAUCCAACUCUCAUACGAGCUCCUGGCGGUUCAUUCAUCUGACCGUAGACUAAAGCCACUUUUUAUUCCGCAAGAUUUUGUUCAUUAAUUAUUCCAGAUUCUUUCAUUUCCAUGUAAAGAUCAUUUCCUUCACGAGUCCGUUCACCUACUCUGCCAAAUACGGAUACGCCCCCAUGAGCUUUGGCAAUGUUGUUGAUCAAUUCCAUAAUGAGUAUUGUUUUACCUACCCCAGCCCCCCCAAAUAGUCCGAUUUUUCCUCCACGACGAUAAGGAGCUAAAAGAUCGACUACUUUAAUUCCUGUUUCAAAAAUAGGUAAUUUUGUAUCUAAUUGGAUGAAAGCGGGCGCGGAUUUAUGAAUAGGGGAUGUUGUGCGAGUAUCUACAGGACCUAAAUUAUCAACGGGCUCCCCAAGCACGUUAAAAAUUCGUCCUAUGGUCGCUCCGCCGACUGGAACACUUAGAGCAGCUCCCGUGUCAAUCACUUCCAUUCCUCUCGUUAGACCAUCUGUAGCGCUCAUAGCUACAGCUCUAACUCGAUUAUUUCCUAAUAAUUGCUGUACCUCACAAGUUACAUUAAUUUGUUGACCGGCGGUAUCUCGACCCUUAACUACUAGGACGUUGUAAAUAUUAGGCAUCUUGCUCGGGGGAAAGGCUACAUCCAGUACUGGACCGAUGAUUUGAGAAAUACGCCCCAGAUUUUCUUUUUCAAGCGUGGAAACUCCUGGAAUAGAAGUAGUAGGAUUUAUUUUCAUAAUAAAGUGAAAUAUGUCAAUUUUUUUCCAAAAUUAUCUAAUACAAAAAAAAUCUUCGACAGGAGGUUGAUCGGUUAAUUCAAUAAGAAAUGGGGGUUAGCGCUCGAUUUCGUUGGUCCCAUCCAAUUCAAGUGCAUGCAAUUGGAUUGUUUCCUUAUUCAAUGAAGGAAUUUUUAAGUUCAACCACAGGUUUAUCGCCAAAUGUCUCUUCUAUUACGAAGACCGCCGGGUCGUGAAGCUUAUCCAGGAGAUGUUUUUUAUUUGCAUUCGCGCCUUUUAGAAAGAGCCGCUAAAUCAAGUUAUCAGUUAGGUGAAGGAAGUAUGACUGCUUUACCAAUAGUUGAGACCCAGUCGGGAGACGUUUCGGCGUAUAUUCCUACUAAUGUGAUUUCCAUUACAGAUGGACAAAUAUUCUUAUCCGCCGAUCUAUUCAAUGCUAGAAUCAGACCUGCUAUUAAUGUGGGGAUUUCUGUCUCCAGAGUAGGAUCGGCGGCUCAAAUUAAAGCUAUAAAACAAGUCGCUGGUAAAUCAAAAUUGGAAUUGGCCCAAUUCGCCGAAUUAGAAGCCUUUGCACAAUUUGCUUCUGAUCUCGAUAAAGCUACUCAGAAUCAAUUGGCACGAGGUCAACAAUUACGUGGGUUGCUUAAACAAUCCCAAUCAGCUCCUCUUACGGUGGCAGAACAGAUAAAUACUAUUUAUACCAGAACGAAUGGUUAUCUUGAUUCAUUAGAAAUUGGACAAGUAAGGAAAUUUCUCGUUGAGUUACGUACUUACUUAAAAACGAAUAAACCUCAGUUCCAAGAAAUCAUAUCUUCUACCAAGACAUUCACUGAGGAAGCGGAAAGGCUUUUGAAAGACGC
rnacentral:lncRNA from 1 species